GACGAACGCUGGCGGCGUGCUUAACACAUGCAAGUCGAACGGAAAGGCCCUGCUUUUGUGGGGUGCUCGAGUGGCGAACGGGUGAGUAACACGUGAGUAACCUGCCCUUGACUUUGGGAUAACUUCAGGAAACUGGGGCUAAUCCCGGAUAGGAGCUCCUGCUGCAUGGUGGGGGUUGGAACGUUUCGGCGGUUGGGGAUGGACUCGCGGCUUAUCAGCUUGUUGGUGGGGUAGUGGCUUACCAAGGCUUUGACGGGUAGCCGGCCUGAGAGGGUGACCGGCCACAUUGGGACUGAGAUACGGCCCAGACUCCUACGGGAGGCAGCAGUGGGGAAUAUUGCACAAUGGGCGGAAGCCUGAUGCAGCAACGCCGCGUGCGGGAUGACGGCCUUCGGGUUGUAAACCGCUUUCGCCUGUGACGAAGCGUGAGUGACGGUAAUGGGUAAAGAAGCACCGGCUAACUACGUG
rnacentral:rRNA from 1 species